UACGAAGGGGGCUAGCGUUGUUCGGAAUUACUGGGCGUAAAGCGUAUGUAGGCGGAUCGUUAAGUCGGGGGUGAAAUCCCGAGGCUCAACCUCGGAACUGCCUUCGAUACUGGCGAUCUUCGAGUCCGGGAGAGGUGAGUGGAACUCCGAGUGUAGAGGUGAAAUUCGUAGAUAUUCGGAAGAACACCAGUGGCGAAGGCGGCUCACUGGCCCGGUACUGACGCUGAA
rnacentral:rRNA from 1 species